UGUUUCUCCCCCCCCCCCCCCCUUCUCUCUCUCUCUAAUACUUACAUAUCACAGACAAUUAUUUCUUGAGGGUGAGGACCCUUGGUGGAGGGGCUUGAUCUUUCUCACUAACAGGUUUGGCGUGAAGCUCAUGAUACUUCUGGCGUAUGAUGCAAGAGAAUUGCUUUUUUGCUGAUACAAGUAUGAAAAUACCUGGUAGCCUACACACUUGUGUUAUGGUGUAACGGUGUUGCCCAACGGGUGUCCAUGAUUGCAUUGUUAUAAGAAGUUUGCUAAGGGAGGAGCAGUGAGCCAGCUGAUUAUUGGUAGUCUUGGAGUAAAAUGGUUUCAAUCAUCAUGGAUGCUAGGGCAUGACCUCUAGUGUCAACUUCUUUAAGGCUGCAUUGUCAAUCUAGGGUGCAUUUGAUGGGAGUUCCCCCAGUUUAUAAUUGAUAGGAUUCAUUGGCCUGCUCAUGGUGCUUAUUUCGACCAAAAAAGAAGACAAAUAUAAAGCAGUGACAUUGAUGCUGAUGCCAACAAUAGUGAUGUUUCCGGGGCAUUCAGAUUUGGCUAAGCUUAUAUUUCAUAGGCAAGGUUAUGCCUUAAUUUUGCCUUUGGUACUCCCUCUCCACAAACACACCCCUUCUUUCAGGCAUGUCCAUAUAUUAUAUAUGCAUUAUAUAUAUAUAUAUAUAUAUAUAUAUAAGUAAUGUGAAGUUAUAUAUAGGAAUGGUAACCAAUAGUGGGGCUUGUUUUACUACCGAGACUAUUGCAGACUAAAUUAUCAGGAAGCCAAAACAAGUUACAAUGGCCUUGAAUUAUUGAAUGUGAUGACUGGUGAGAAAAAGGCAACUGUUGUUAUUGUAAGGCUUGAUUUGCAGCUUUAA